ACCUAUGAUUUUCUAUUUGCUUCUUUACUUUUGUCUCUCCCCUCAGCUCGAGAGAGGCUAUAUUCAUCUGUGUUAAUCACUGCUGUGUUUCCUGAACAUGCCUAUAAAACAUACUGAAGAAGGGUGCCUGAAAUUUUGCUCUCUAGAAAGCAUGUGCAGAGGCUCCCACUCCACCCUCGGACUCCGUGGGCCACAGCUGGAGGGACCAGCCAAGGAGCCGUGGCAGGAGGAGGCCAGAGGGCAGCGGGCCUCGGCCGGAGCCCGUCAGUCGGUCCCCAUUCACACACCACCAGACGAUCCUCUUGACCUGGGCAGUAGCCGCCAACCGACCGCUAAGCCACGCAAUGCGGUGAAGCCCUGACGCUCGCUGCCGCGUCGGUACACCCUGAGAACACGAUGCUCAGCGAGCAAAGUCAUACACAGAAGGACACACAGGGCGUGACCCCACUGAGGAGAAACGUCCAGAGCAGGCAACUCUUGAGUACAUGUAUUUAACAUGCAGGGAACCAGCCCUGACUCCUUGAUCUGGGUCUUCCAGCCUCUAGAGCCUCGAGGACAUCCAUUUCCGUUACUUACGCGCCCAGUGCCUGGGGUUUGAUGAUGGAAGCUGACACCGAGGGCGUCACCACGUGUGGGGUGAUGUCAGUGAAAGAAUCCCGUGGCGAGGGCCUGCCUGAGGACCACGCAUGCCCGGGCCCUCCCCGCCCCCGCCUGCAGCCCUGCGCCUGGGAGCGGAGCUGGUGCAUCGCAUGCCCGACGUCGUGGAAGUUGGUCUCCCGCUCAUCAUGCCGCAGCAGGGAGGGCAGGUUGGGCGUAGGCUUGGCGAAGUUGGCCACCGUGGCCGCGAUGGCGAUCUGGCAGCUCCCAUCGUGCUGUAGGCAGGCCGAAGCAGGCCGCGUGCCCGGACUUCCCCACCCUGCGGAGGGACGUGGAUGGGGCCCCGCUUCCACAGACGAGCCCCGGCCCACGGCCGACAGGUUCCCCCACGCACGCACCGAGGAUAGAGGUCAGGUAGAACUUGCCGAUGGAUGACCUUGCCCGAGGCCGCGUCCCAGACCGUUUAGAGCCUCACGUCUUCGUGACACAUGCUGGUGCCCUCCUCCAGGUCGAAGGUCAGCCCCAGCAGCUCCUGGGAGAUGCCCAGCAGCCCGCGUGUGACCGCCUGCAUGGGGAAAGACUCAUUGAGCAGGUACUGGCCCACGUGGUAGCGCGUCUCCUCCCCCUGGUUCACGUAGUAGCGCAGGUCCCAGGCGUUGAUGGGGCCGUCAAAGUGCAGGCCCCGCCUCUGGCACUCGGCCUUCUUUAGCUCCAGGAUCACGGCCGCUCCUGCUCCCCGAGGGGCUUCAGCUUCUGGGCCAGCUCACCUGCGGGCGGAGGGGAGAGGCUCGGCUACGUCCCUGGGGCGGCCCCCCAGCCACCCCCG